rnacentral:rRNA from 1 species
ACGGAAGGCAGCAGUGGGGAAUAUUGCACAAUGGGCGAAAGCCUGAUGCAGCGACGCCGCGUGAGUGAAGAAGUAUCUCGGUAUGUAAAGCUCUAUCAGCAGGGAAGAAAAUGACGGUACCUGACUAAGAAGCCCCGGCUAACUACGUGCCAGCAGCCGCGGUAAUACGUAGGGGGCAAGCGUUAUCCGGAUUUACUGGGUGUAGAGGGAGCGUAGACGGUUUGGCAAGUCUGAAGUGAAAUGCGGGGGCUCAACUCCUGAACUGCUUUGGAAACUGUCGAACUAGAGUGCAGGAGAGGUAAGUGGAAUUCCUAGUGUAGCGGUGAAAUGCGUAGAUAUUAGGAGGAACACCAGUGGCGAAGGCGGCUUACUGGACUGUAACUGACGUUGAGGCUCGAAAGCGUGGGGAGCAAACAGGAUUAGAUACCCUGGUA